rfam:Pseudomonas fluorescens F113, complete genome.
UUGGUGCCUCGCUUAGGCUCGGCAUGCCCGAACGCAGGCAUUGCGCAGUGGGCAACCCGGCAUGGAUGCCGGGUUAGCCGCGCUGGGCCAUGGAUGGCCCUUCGCGGCGGCCCACGGAGCAAUGCCUUCGUUCAGGCACACCGAGCCUAGGCGAGGUGCCGA